AUGUCCGAGUACGGUAUCCAUCUUGCCAUUGAUGGAAACCAAUCUCUAGAGCCCUUAAAAUACCGAGAGCGACCACGGCGAUGCCAGCGACGGCGGCGGACAUCGCAUAUAUCGUGUUGUAUUGUGCGUUCUGCCUGCUACUGCUUGGCGUGUGCUACUUCUCCAACCCUAAACCGGAGAACGCGGAAGGACAAGGACGGGUCGCGCAGGGCGGCGGCGGCGCCAGCGGUGCAGAUGACGGCGGCUCCGGUCGUGCUGCGGUACUUCCUGUACUCGACGCUGGGCAGGAGGUCGUCGGAGAAGAAGCUGGUGUGCGCGAUCUGCCUGGACGAGUUCCUGCACCGGGAGGCGUGCGGCCAGGUGCCGGCGUGCCGCCACUUCUUCCACCGGAGGUGCGUCGACGUGUGGAAGAAGAGCAGCCAUAGCUGCCCGCUUUGCAGGCACUACAUGGCGACGGGAUCGGAGCGCGUAUCGGCUGCCGACGACAUGGUUUAG
rnacentral:rRNA from 1 species